rnacentral:rRNA from 1 species
GGUUGAUCCUGCCAGUAGUCAUAUGCUUGUCCUAAAGAUUAAGCCAUGCAUGUCCAAGUAUAUACCUUUAUACGGUGAAACUGCGAAUGGCUCAUUAUAUCAGUUAUAAUUUACAUGAUGGAUUAUUUACUACUUGGAUAACCGUGGUAAUUCUAGAGCUAAUACAUGCAAAAGGCCCGACUGUAAGGAAGGGUGGUAUUUAUUAGAUAAAAACCGAAUGCGACCUUGUCGUAAGCUGGUGAGUCAUGAUAACUGAGCGGAUCGUAUGGCCUCGCGCCGACGACGCAUCAUU